UACGGAGGGUGCGAGCGUUGUCCGGAAUCACUGGGCGUAAAGGGCGCGUAGGCGGCUUGGGAAGUCCGUGGUGAAAGCUCGUGGCUCAACUACGAGUCGGCCAUGGAUACUCCUAAGCUCGAGUCGACUAGAGGCAGAUGGAAUUCCGGGUGUAGCGGUGGAAUGCGUAGAGAUCCGGAAGAACACCGGUGUCGAAGGCGGUCUGCUGGGGUCGAACUGACGCUGAGGCGCGACAGCGUGGGGAGCAAACAGG
rnacentral:rRNA from 1 species